rnacentral:lncRNA from 1 species
AUGUACAUAUAAAAACUGUCUUGUUUGUUUUAUUUAUCAGUUCUUUCUCUGGAGGUGGACAUAUCCAAAUUAUUCUUUAAACAAUAUUUGCUUUGCUGUUUUCAUGGUUCUACUGUGGAAGAGGCAAGAAGAGAGAGGUUUUGAAGGACAAGACAAGAUGCAAGAGACUAAGCUGGGGACAGGUUUUGUCCAUCAAGACGAAGAUUCUAAAAUGGAAUGUUCCCAGGAGGAGUGGCAGUUGAGCAACAGUUUUCCUUCAAGACUCAGCUCAAGUACAGCCUUCUACGUGAAUCUUUUCCAGAUGCCCACAACUGCGAAUUCACCAAGAACUGAAAAAUCGAGCAUUAAUUUUGAAUAUUUUAUAGAAAGUAAACUGAGGGGAAACUAUUACUCCUGCAAUGACUGCUGUCCUCUGGCUUGUGAAGAGAGAGAGCUGCUAAGGGAACCUGAGACUGCUUAUUUGUAAUGGAGGUAGGAAUGAGAAAUGCUGAGGGAUGCUGCCACACAGGGAUGCUGGUACACAGGGGAACUGCUACACAAGGGAACUGCUCUGGGGUUUACUCUGGGGUUUGCC